UCAAACAACAGAGAAAGCCCAACAAGCCAAGAGUCAACGUAUGAACCAGAAUGGCUGGGGUAGAUGCUCUCUGCUCCUGACACUUUUGAGACAAGGUAUUUAGAGAAAAAGAGAAGAGCUUGCUGGUGUUGUGCCAGUGUCUGCAAUGCUUACCUGGCUGAAAGGACUGCUGCAGCUGCUUGUGCUCCACAUCGCCUGGAAAAUGGGGAGCGGCCAGCUCCAUUAUUCUGUGCUGGAGGAAUCCCAGCACGGCACCUUUGUGGGCCGCAUCGCCCAGGAUCUGGGGUUGGAGGUGAGCGAGCUGGUGCCUCGGAUGUUCCGGAUGCUGUCCAAAGGAGAGAAGGACUAUUUUGAGGUAAACCUGCAGAAUGGGAUCUUGUUUGUAAAUUCCCGGAUAGACAGGGAGGAGCUGUGUGUCAAGAAUGCAGACUGUGUCCUUCAUCUGGAGGUGAUUGUAGAGAAACCUCUGAGGUUCUUCCAUGUGGAGGUUGAAAUCAAAGACAUGAAUGACAAUGCUCCCAUCUUCUCAGCCAGGGAACAGAUCCUGAGCAUGGCUGAACUAAUAACAUCUAGGAUACGAUUCCCAUUAGAGAGAGCCUCUGAUGCAGAUAUUGGUACUAACGCUCUGUUAACUUACAAGCUCAGUCCAAACAACCAUUUUGCUCUUGAUUCAGGAAAUGAUGAAGAUGAGAGUAAAUCUGUAGUUCUUGUACUGAAGGUUCCACUUGACAGAGAGGAGAGCCCUGUGCAUCAUUUAGUACUGACAGCCACUGAUGGGGGUGAACCAAAACUCACAGGAACUGCUCAGCUAGUCAUCAAUGUGCUGGAUGUCAAUGACAACCCUCCUGUGUUUAAUCAAUCUGUUUAUAGGGUAAAGUUGCUAGAAAAUACACCUAGUUGGUCAUUAGUUAUUGCUCUGAAUGCUACAGACUUAGAUGAGGGAAUUAAUAGGGAAAUCUCUUAUUUUUUUAGUAAUAGCCUACCUCUACAUGUCACAAAGCUCUUUAAUAUAAAUUCUGAUACUGGGGAAAUCAGAGUGAUUGGAAAAUUGGACUAUGAAGAUAUUAAUUGCUAUGAACUUCAAAUUGUUGCAGAAGAUAAAGGCAGUUCUCCAUUAUCAGGACAUUGUGAAGUUUUUGUUGACGUAUUGGACAUGAAUGAUAAUAUUCCAGAAAUAUCUGUGAAUUCUCUCUCUGUGCCAUUGCCAGAGGAUUCCUCUCCAGGGACUGUGGUAGCUAUCCUCAGUGCUUCAGACAAGGAUUCUGGAAUCAAUGGACAAGUAACCUGUGUUCUACAACCCUCUGAGAUACCGUUCAAAAUAGUGUCCACAUUCAAGAAUUACUACUCACUGAUUGUUGCAGCAUCUUUGGAUAGGGAAGAGGUGGCUGAGUACAGGAUGGUUGUGACAGUGGAAGAUCAAGGCCUUUCACCACUGUCUUCUAGCAUCACCCUUGUAGUGCCUAUCAGUGACAUAAAUGAUAAUUCUCCAGCUUUCACUCAACCAUCCUACACAAUCUUUGUGAAGGAGAACAAUCCCCCUGGUGCUCACAUCUUCACAGUAUCUGCCUCAGACCCAGAUGUAGCUGAAAAUGCUCUGAUCACCUAUUGGAUAGAUGAGAAACUCUGGCCAUUGUCAAGUUACAUCUCUGUACAUUCGGAGAGUGGAAAACUUUAUGCUUUGCAGUCCUUGGACUAUGAAGAGUUGAAACUGUUGGAAUUCCAGGUGAGAGCCAAGGAUACUGGAACGCCCACCUUGUGUAGCAAUGCAACUCUUCAAGUCUUUGUGAUGGAUGAGAAUGACAAUGUACCUGUUGUGUCAAGAUCAUCAGAAGAGAACCUGAUUCUUCUCGUGGUCCCUGUGAUGCCUGGGCAUAUUGUAGGCAAGAUCCAUGCCUUGGAUGCGGAUUCUGGAUACAAUGCAUGGCUAAGGUAUGAACUGAUUGAAGAAAGCAAUGGUCCAUGGACUGUAGGGCAGUAUAGCGGUGAGGUGAGUACCAAAUAUUCUUUGGAUGAAUCAGAAGGAAGCAAAAUCCAGAGUGUGUUGGUUCUUGUGAAGGACCAUGGAAAACCUCAACUCUCAGCCACAGCUACCCUGAGUGUGUCACUUGUAACAAGUGGUCAGACAAUGAAAACAGAUAUUAACCUCCCCAGGUCAGGGGAGACCUUUGUGUCCCUGGUGGACUCGAUCAACGUCUAUCUGAUCAUUGCCAUCUGCUCUGUCUCCAGCCUCUUCUUGCUGGCCGCUCUCAUCUAUGUGGCCCUGCGAUGCCACUGCAAGGCAAAGGAAUCCAUGGUUUAUGGCCCUGGCAUGGCCACCCUGGUGUGCGCCAGUGAAGUGGGCAGCUGGUCCUAUUCCAAUCGCCACAGCCACAUUCUGGCAGGUGUGAGUGCAGAGGCUGGUGCCAAGAGUGACCUUAUGAUUUUCAGUCCCAACAUUCCUGUUUUUGCAAAUAAUGGGGAACUUAGGAAUGGGACAGAAUUGAUCCCAGAUUCAGCUAAAGAGACGAAUCCUUUUACACAAUGAAUUGAGUACCAUACAGCAUGAGGCUUAAGAUCUUGGCCUUCAACAGUUAAUUGCUGCAGACAUAGCCAUGGUGGCACAGUGGUUUGACCCUGACCGGCUCAAGGUUGACUCAGCCUGCUAUCUUUCCAAGGUCAGUAAAAUGAGGACCCAAAUUGUUGGAGGCAAUAUGCUGACUCUGUAAACUGCUUAGAGAGGGCUGUAAAGCACUGCAAAGCAGUAUAUAAGUCUAUUUCUAUUUAAAUUUAAGAGUAUGUUCACCUUGAAUGAAAGUUAUUAUUUGACCAUAAGUACACCAGUCUCAGCUCACCAAUGUUCCUUUUCUGAAAAAAGCCAGAAUGACACCUAAAGUGAUAUCUUCAUAGAGAAUCCUGUUUUAUAUUUAUUACAAAUCCUUAGGAUGGCAUGCCAACCAAAUAAUCCUUAAAGUCAACAUUCACCUUAACCUUGUCAUACCAUAAGUAGGCAUGCCUUCCAAAACUUAAUUCAUGGCCCUCUAAUUCAAGUAAUCUCUUUUAUUUGGAGAGUUACCCAUUUUCAUAAGAAUCAAAGCAGGAAUCAAAGUACAAUUUCAAAUUGGGUCAACCUAAACUUCCUCUUUCUUUGGCAUCUUGCAGUAAUUUGUAUCUAAUUAUUAGUUUUUUCCCUUGCCAUAUGAAGUUAGAAUAUCUUUUUGCCAUUGUUUAAAUGGAGUGCUGUGUGACAAUAUUGGUAAAAUCUGAAAUGCAAAUAACAUCUUUGGUAAGACAUCAAUAAGAAUUAUCACAUCUUAAUAACACUGUCAGACUAUUUACUGAAUCUGCACUACUAUUGAUCAUCAAUUGUGUUGUAAAUGUUGUACCUUGAUGAACGUAUCUUUUCUUUUAUGUACACUGAGAGCAUAUGCACCAAGACAAAUUCCUUGUGUGUCCAAUCACACUUGGCCAAUAAAAUUCAAUUCUAUUCUAUUCUAUUCUAUUCUAUUCUAUUCUAUUCUAUUCUAUUCUAUUCUAUUCUAUUCUAUUCUAUUCUAUUCUAGUUCAUACCUGAGUGGCCUGGUGCUUUUCCCUACUUUCUUCAAUUUAAGCCUAAAUUUUGCAACAAGAAGCUCAUGAUCUGAGCUAUAGUCAGCUCCUGGUCUUGUUCUUAUUGACUAUAUAGAGCUUCUCCAUCUUUGGCUGCAGAGCCAAAUCAAUCUAAUUUCUGUGUUAACCGUCUGGUGAUGUCGAUAUGUAGAGUCCUCUCUUGGGUUGUUGGAAAAGAGUGUUUGCUAUGACCAUCGUAUUAUCUUGACAGAAUUCUAUCCCAGAAAAUAACACGGUUAGUGGAUAAUCAAGGUCAGGCCAGAUAUGAGAAUGAAGAGAAGAAAAAAAUUGUACAAGAUUAUUAUAGGAAAUGAUAUGAGCAAGAAAAUAUAGAGGAGGAAAAUAUUAAGCAGUAUUUACAGAAAGCGAACCUACCACAGAUUCCUAAAGAUACUGAAAUGAUGUUGGAAGGAAACAUAAUGAUGGAAUUAAUUGAAGCACUUAAAAAACAAAAAAAUGGGAAGGCACCGGGCCCGGAUGGGUUGCCAGCAGAAUAUUACAAGACGUUUCAGGAGUCGUUGGGUCUCCCACUACUGGAAGUCACGAAUGAAGUGAUGUUAAAGAAGAAACUGCCUGAGACAUGGACAGAAUCCUAUAUUACACUUAUCCCAAAAGAGGAUACUGAUGCACAGUGAAUUAAGAAUUGUAGACCUAUAGCCUUGCUAAACUCAGACUAUAAAAUCUUUGCUUUAAUAUUGGCAGAACGACUUAAAAGAUAUGUAAAUAACUUUAUACAUUCUGAAAGGGGACGUGGUGACUCAGGGGCUAGGAUGUUGAGCUUGUUGAUCGAAAGGUCAGCAGCUCAGCGGUUCGAAUCCCUAGUGCUGCCGUGUAACGGAGUGAGCUCCCGUUACUUGUCCCAGCUUCUGCCAACCUAGCCGUUUCAAAAGCACAUAGAAAUGCAAGUAGAAAAAAUAGGGACCACCUUGGUGGGAAGGUAAAGCAUUCCGUGCGCCUUUGGCGUUGAGUCAUGCCGGCCACAUGACCAUGGAGACAUCUUUGGACAGCGCUGGCUCUUUGCCUUUGAAACGGAGAUGAGCACCGCCCCGUAGAGUUGGAAACGACUAGCACGUAUGUGCGAGGGGAACCUUUACCUUAUAUAUUCUGACCAAAAUGGAUUUCUGCCUAAAAGACAUAUUAAAGAUAAUAUGAGGAUAGUCUUAAAUACCCUGCAAUAUUAUGAGGCCCAUACUUGAUCUUUCUUGAUGCACAGAAAGCCUUUGACAAUGUGAACUGGUGUUUUAUGCUACUACAAUUGGAACAGAUGGGUUUUGGUACAAAGUUUAUUAAGGCAAUAGAAGCCAUAUACCAUAAACGAACAGCCAAAGUGGAGAAUUGGCAGAAUCGAUUCAAAUAAAAAAUGGAACAAGACAAGGUUGCCCGCUGUUACCUCUGUUGUUUGUAUUAAUACUGGAAGUACUAAAUAGAAGUAUUAGAGAAGAAGUAGGAAUAAAAGGUAUGAAAAUUCAAAAGGAAGAAUAUAAAUUACAAGCAUUUGCGGAUGACCUGGUUUUUAUUAUUGAAGUUCCAUUAGAAUCCAUAACUAAAUUGAUAGACAAGAUAGGAGAAUGUGGAAAAGUGGCAGGAUUGAAAAUAAAUAAAGAUAAAAUGAAGAUUUUAACAAAAACAUAUUAAUAAAACAAAAAGCUGAAUUGGCAGAACGAUCAGAGAUGCAGGUCACAAACAAGGUUAAAUAUUUGGGAAUAUAUUUGACAGCAAGAUGUAGUAUAGUUAAAGAAAAUAAUUAUAGUAAACUUGAACAACAGAUUGCAUCAGAUUUGGCAAAAUGGGAGAAUUUACAACUAUCAUUGAUUGGAAGAAUAUCAAUGAUUAAGAUGAAUAUAUUGUCUAGAAUUUUAUAUUUGUUCCAGACUAUCCCAAUUAAAUUGGGGAAAGGAUAUUUUGAAGAAUUUAAUAAGAUAAUGCUGAAAUAAUACAGGGUAAAAAAACAAUAAAAUUAAAAUUAUUAAUUAUUAUUAAAAUUAUUGCAAGAUGCAAGGAUAAGAGGUGGCUUUGGUCUGCCAAACUGGAAAUUAUAUUAUCAAGCCGCAAAUUUAAUGUGGAUUAAAGAAUGGAUAACUUUAAGAAACACUAAAAUAUUGACUUUGGAAGGACAUGAUUUACUGUUAGGAUGCAUGCCUUCUUAUGGUAUGGGGAAGCUAAAACGGGUAUUUCAGAAGACAUUUUAUAAGAGAGGUUUUGUUAUUAAACUGAGAAAGGAUUAAGAAAAACUAUUAUUUAAAAAUUCCAGUCUGGGUAUCAACUAUUGAGGCAUUCUCAUAUUCAAUAACAUUUAGAAAGGACAAAUUGUUAAUGAAUUGUUGAAUGAAAAGGGUGAACUAAAAACAAUGCAAGAACUAGAAACACAAGGUAUAAAAAUGAAUUGGUUUUCAUAUUUGCAAAUACACUCCAGAUAUGAUAACUCCAAAAUAGAAGCUUUUUAUAAUAAUUUGACCAAUCUAGAUAAAAUUUUAACAGGUACGGAUGAUAAUUUAAUUAGAAAAUUAGAUGGAUACUUAUUAGAGGUUAAACUAGAAGAAGAACAAGUUAAAGAGGCGAUUGCUUGGUGGGGGGAAAUUUUGGGCAUGGGAUUGAUUUAGAGGCAUGGGAGAAACUGUGGACACAAAAUUAUAAGAUGACAAUGUCUACUGUGUAUAAAGAGAAUUUGUAUAAGGUGUUUUACAGGUGGCACCUACUCCCGACAAGAAUAGCCAGAAUGUUCAAGAAUAAAUCUGAAAAAUGCUGGAAAUGUCAUCAGAUACCUGGUUCUUAUUACCAUAUCUGGUGGACAUGCGCAGAAGCUAAAAGAUAUUGGACUAAAAUCCACACAUGGUUGGAAAAAAUGAUAAAAAAACAUAUAGACUUUAAACCAGAAGUUUUUUUAUUAGGGAUUAUAUCUGAAACUUACAAUACAGAAUUGAGAAACCUGAUUGUGAAUGUAGUAACAGCAGCUAGGAUUGUAUUUGAUAAGAAUUGGAAAAGUGAGAAAUCACCACCGCAAGAUGAAAUUAUUAAGAAAAUAAUGGAAUGUGCAGAAAUGAGUAAAUUGACAUUUGAAAUUAGAGAACAGGAAGAUAAGCAUUAUUAUAAGAUAUGGGAUUUAUUUUAUCAAUGGCUAGAAGGGAAAAUAUGUUAAAAAAGAUUGGAGUUUCUUACAAGGGAAGAAUUAUUGAAUGAUACAAUUGAUUUAAGAUGAUGGAAUAAAUGAUGUAAUAAGAUAAGAUAUUGACUUAGAAUAACUCAUAUGAAAUCAAAACACUGGGAUAUAUAUCAGAUGAUAAAAUGUAAGAUUAGAUAAAUCAAUGAUAUGCAUGUUUUGAAAUUGCACAAAAGAUUUGUAAUCAACCU